rnacentral:lncRNA from 9 species
GCCCUGAGCUGUCCUGAAUUUGCCAUACAACACAUCCUAUUUCAGGUUAGCAGCUCUGCUCUCUAUGGCUGCUGCAGACUGCCAUUGCUGUGCACUCAGUGCUUUCCUUUUCCUUGUGGAUUUUAUUCCUUCCUUUAGCUCAGAGAGGGAAAUGGUACUGUCCCUAUAAUCAAGGAGCAGCUCACAUUACAGCGUUGCUGUUGAUCUGUCCGAGAGCCAGUCUUGGCAGCAAGCUUGCUCCCUCCUGCUGAUUGGAUGGGUCUGCAGAGUUUCUGCUGCUCCAGCCUGUGCAGUGCGACAGAGCCCUUAGUGUUUCAGAGCAUCACUUGGGCCCUUCUGACUGUUCAGGUCCAGGCAUCCACUCCUGUUCUCCCCUAGGUCUGGAGUUCAGCCCUGAUACUUAGGUGUGUUCUUGCCUCCCUUCUUCUGAGGUCUGGCUCUGCUUCUGUUACUGCUGGUAACCCAGAUGGAGUGUGAGGUGAGAUGCUGUGAGCAUCUAGUAAAGGCACUUAGAUUCUGAGCCACAGCAUCUUGCUCCACCUCCCCAGAUGCUGCCCUAAGGGGCCAAUGCCAAUCCUGCCUGGACCAGCAUUAGCUCUGCUGCGGCGACUUGAUAGCAGUCUGGAGAUGAAUGAAUUUCCAGCUAUGCCACCUCUGAGCUCCCACUGAAACCUUUGCUGGAGACAAAAAUGUGGUUAAUUAUUGAAGAAUGGAGAACAUUUUGUGUCUUGGUUUGCGGUUGUGCUUUGCAAACCUGAAUCUAAUGAGACCAAGCUCUCUGCCCAACUCUGCACUUGCUGACUUAUCUGAUUUGAAAUCGGAGUGUCUGAUCAUUGACAGGUGCAAGGCUACAUGACAUCAAGCAACCAGUCCUUUGAGCAGACAGCAAAACAGAACAACCUGGAGUUACCUUUGACACCCUCAGUGUGACCUCUUUGUGCCUUAUCAAACUAGCCAUAAAAAUCAGUCUUUUGGGGAAACACAGAUCUUUUCUGAGAGAAGGGAAUGGUUGUGUUCAUUAAUUCUACCUCUACUCUCAGAGGCAACUACAUUUAUCCUUCAGAUGGAAGAAUCAAAUGUAGCCCAAACACUUCAGCAGACGAUCAAAAUGGAAGGAAGACUUAGUAAAAAAUGCUGUUGUUGUUGUUGCAUUGGUGUGUAUAUGAUUGCACUAAUUUGAUGUCUGUUUAAACAGACAAAACAGUUUCCUUUUGAUAAAUGCACUUAAAUAAGUCAAAUGUACAUAGUGCUAUUCUAGUUCUAAGUGAGACUUCAAGUUUAACUUAAAUGUUGUAAAGUCUCCAUUCCCUAAAGUUCAGGUUAGAUUUAAAAGGGGAGAGCAGCUGACUGUUUCAUUUUUAUUAUUCCUUUGAGCACAUGAAAUAGCAGACUUUUUGCAGGGUGAACGUGGGGCCACUUUUCUCUUAUUGUAAACUAAAUGUGUCCUUUAUAUAUAAUGUCUUUAAAAAAUAAAUUGCACUGUUGGUAAUUUGGGGGGGGGAGUAGAAACCAUAAAAAUUGGAGUACAAAAUAUAUAGAUUUGACUGAUUGCAAAGAUUUUUCUAGAAAUCCUCAUUACUGUCCCAAUAUACAGAACAUUUAUCUCCUUGUUUUAUACUUUAUAAUAGCCAUAAAAAUAGGAGUUUAAGGGGUUACUAGAUGUAGGCAAACCCACAGUCACAUGGAUUGCCAACUGAUAGCCUUGCAAGUAAGAGCAGAUUCAAAAAAGAGCAACCACAUUGUAGAAAUGAAUUACUUAGGGCCAUUUAGUUUAGGGAUAAACUGUCUUCCCUAGGACACUCCUACUGAAGCUUCACGCUAAAUUUGAUAUUUGGUACAAUGACUCCUAGAAGCAACUAUAAUUAUUUUGAUAUGUGUUGAUAAGGGAUUUCACAGUUAGCAGGCGUUCCAGCCCCAAAUAUUCAAAAAUGGCUGCUCAUAGCAUUAAGCUUUAAUCACCAGAAACGUUACUCAUUAGAAAUAUGUUAUCCUUUGGGGUUAAUAGAGGCAAACUAUUGCUUUUGGAAUGGAUAAGCAAGGAGAUCCUGCUGUAUAGCACUGGGAACUAUGUCUAGUCACUUGUGAUGGAGCAUGAUAAUGUGAGAAAAAAGAAUGUAUACAUGUAUGUGUGACUGGGUCACCUUGCUGUACAGUAGAAAAUCGACAGAACACUGUAAACCAGCUAUAAUGGAAAAAAAAUCAUUAUAAAAUUAAAAAAAGAAAUAUAUUAUUGUCUUCUAAUUCUAUAUAAGUGUGGUGAAGAAAAUAAUAAUUAAUAAAAAUAAAAAAAUAACCAACCUCUUUGAGAAUUUAUCCCCUUCCAGGCUCUGUUUGGAUAACUUUACAUAAUUGUGUCAUUUAAUUCUUACAAUAACCCCUGAGGCACUACUGUUUUUUUCAUGAGGAUACUGAAGAACGGAGAGGGUAAGCAUCUUGCUCAAUAUCACACAAUGAAGGUAGAAUUUAAAUCUAUAUGAGUUUUUAUGCUGUAAACUCUAUACUACAUCAUUUCUGAGGUCACAGAACAGCCAAAUUUGAAGGUUCCAAUCUUUAGGUUCAAAGGGGGAGAAACAUAAGUGACAUAAAGUUAUCAGUAAUAGGUAAUUUUACUAAAAAUAAAAAUAAAUCUAUUUUAUGGAAUUUUAGUAUAAAAUGUUAUUAGGUACAAUGUAUAAUUAUGUAUAACUUUGGCAUCACUGCUACUGCUCAUGAAUUAAUAAUUUAAUGAAAUAGCACUUUAAAACCAAGUGAAUCAAAUAUUUGAUAUAAGAACAGGAAAUGGGAGGCCAAACAUUAGGAAUCUUGUAGAUGCAUGCUUUACCUCUUUAAAGAAGAGUUGUUUUCUAAAAACAAUGGGUCAAAACUUUUGGGGACCUACUAAAUACAAUGGGAAAUUUGCUAGUAAAUACAAAGGACUAUAAAGGGGAGUGCCCUUGUGACUCAGCGGGUUACGAACCUAACCCGCUGAGUCACAAGGUAUCUAUGAGGAUAUGGGUUUGAUCACUUGCCUUGCUUAGUGGGUUAAGAAUCUGGCGUAGUGGUGAGCUGUGGUUUAGGCAGCAUGCAUGGCUUGGAUCUCAUAUUGCUGUGGCUGUGGCUUAGUUUGGCAGCUGCAGCUCUGAUUGGACCCCUAGCCUGGGAACUUCCAUAUGCUGCAAGCAGAGCCCUGAAAAGCAAACAAAAAACCCUACAGGACUGAAAGGCUUAAGCCAUAGAUGCUUAUGAGAGACAUAAAAUACCCUUGAUAGAGAAUAAAAUGUG